rnacentral:rRNA from 1 species
UACAGAGGUGGCAAGCGUUGUUCGGAAUUACUGGGCGUAAAGCGUGUGUAGGCGGCUCGUUAAGUCUGGUGUGAAAGCCCUGAGCUCAACUCAGGAAUUGCAUCGGAAACUAACAAGCUGGAGUUCGGGAGAGGGUAGUGGAAUUCCUGGUGUAGAGGUGAAAUUCGUAGAUAUCAGGAGGAACACCGGUGGCGAAGGCGGCUACCUGGACCGAUACUGACGCUGAGACACGAAAGCGUGGGGAGCAAACAGG